GGCAGCGAUUGGCGGGCUGUGGCUGUCGGCGCCGAGGCGGGAGCUCCCGGAGACGGAGGCAGCGGGUGGGGGCCUGGCCGAGUGGAGGGGUAACAAGAUGGCGGCCGAGACGGUGGAGCUCCAUAAGCUGAAGCUUGCUGAACUAAAGCAGGAGUGUCUUGCUCGUGGUUUGGAGACCAAGGGAAUAAAACAAGAUCUCAUCAACAGGCUCCAGGCAUAUCUUGAAGAGCAUGCUGAAGAGGAGGCAAAUGAAGAAGAUGUACUGGGAGAUGAAACAGAGGAAGAAGAACCAAAGCCCAUAGAACUGCCUGUCAAAGAGGAAGAACCGCCUGAAAAAACUGUUGAUGUGGCAGCAGAGAAGAAAGUAGUAAAAAUUACAUCUGAAAUACCACAAACAGAGAGAAUGCAGAAGAGAGCUGAACGAUUCAAUGUACCUGUGAGCUUGGAGAGUAAGAAAGCUGCCAGAGCAGCUAGAUUUGGGAUUUCUUCCGUUCCGUCAAAAGGCCUGUCAUCUGACACUAAGCCUAUGGUUAACAUGGAUAAGCUAAAAGAAAGAGCUCAAAGAUUCGGUUUGAACGUCUCUUCAAUCUCCAGAAAGUCUGAGGAUGACGAGAAGCUGAAAAAGAGGAAGGAGCGAUUUGGGAUUGUCACAAGUUCAGCUGGAACAGGAACCACAGAGGAUACAGAGGCAAAGAAGAGGAAAAGAGCAGAGCGCUUUGGGAUUGCCUGAUGAAAAGCUCUUGAUGCUUUCUGUUCUCUGGUGGUUUCCAUCUCUGACUCUUCCUGGUCACAUGUAUGCCUAAAAUGCAGUCAUGUGCUGAGGUCCUGCCUCGCAGUGAGGGAGCAUGUACCCCAGGUUCAAGUGCUGGAUUGUGUCAUGUGACCAUCCCAAAACUCAGAGCACCCUAUGGCCAUCUUUGUCCUCUGUCACAUAACUUGAAAACUGCCUGAUGGCCUUUUUGCAGUGGUUCCCUCCAGGAAGCCUUGGUCUCAGUGAAGAAGUCCUUUCCCGGCAUUCCAGUGCCCCUGUCAGCCCCAUACUCCUCAGACACCCUUAACAAACAAAGGCAGUCACGCACGUGGUGUAACAAAUACACAAAGUAAAUAAUAAUUACACUAAUUUUGA